rnacentral:rRNA from 1 species
UACGUAGGGGGCAAGCGUUGUCCGGAUUUAUUGGGCGUAAAGAGCGUGUAGGCGGCCUGAAAGGUCAGCUGUGAAAACUCGAGGCUCAACCUCGAGACGUCGGUUGAAACCAUCUGGCUAGAGUCCGGAAGAGGAGUGUGGAAUUCCCGGUGUAGCGGUGAAAUGCGCAGAUAUCGGGAGGAACACCGGUGGCGAAGGCGGGUCUCUGGGCAGUAACUGACGCUGAGGAGCGAAAGCGUGGGGAGCGAACAGG